GGGGAUGUAGCGCAGUGGUAGCGCGUUCGCUUUGCAUGUGAAAGGCCCCGGUUCACCCCCGGCAUCUCCA
rnacentral:tRNA from 1 species